rnacentral:tRNA from 1 species
AUGUAUAUGGUGUAGUGGUAACAUUGUAGUCUCCAAAACUACCGUCCAAAGUUCGAGUCUUUGUAUACGUGC